rnacentral:rRNA from 1 species
CCUUGUACACACCGCCCGUCACGCCAUGGAAGCUGGAGGGACCCGAAACUGGUGGGCCAACCGCAAGGGGGCAGCCGUCUAAGGUCAAUUCAGUGACUGGGGCG